GGCGUGCUUAAGACAUGCAAGUCGAACGGAAAGGCCCUGCUUGCAGGGUGCUCGAGUGGCGAACGGGUGAGUAACACGUGGGUGAUCUGCCCCUUACUUUGGGAUAAGCCUGGGAAACUGGGUCUAAUACUGGAUAGGACCAUGCUGUAGGUGGUGUGGUGGAAAGAUUAUUUUCGGUAAGGGAUGAGCUCGCGGCCUAUCAGCUUGUUGGUGGGGUAAUGGCCUACCAAGGCGUCGACGGGUUAGCCGGCCUGAUAGGGUGGACGGCCACAUUGGGACUGAGAUACGGCCCAGACUCCUACGGGAGGCAGCAGUGGGGAAUAUUGCUUAAUGGGCGCAAGCCUGAUGCACUGACUCCCCGUGGGGGAUGACGGCCUUCGGGUUGUAAACUCCUUUCAGCCUUGACGAAACCCUUGUGGGUGACCGUAGUGGUAUAAGAAGCACCGGCUAAUUACGUGCCAGCAAGCCGCGGUAAUACUUAUGGUGCCAGCGUUGUCUGGAAUUGCUGGGCGUAAAGAGUUCGUAGGGGGUUUGUUGCGGUCAUUUGGAAAAGCCGGGGGCUUUAAUUCCGGGUUGGCAGGUGAUACGGGCAUGACUGGAGUACUGUAGGGGAGACUGGAAUUCCUGGUGUAGCGGUGAAAUGCGCAGAUAUCAGGAGGAACACCGGUGGCGAAGGCGGGUCUCUGGGCAGUAACUGACGCUGAGGAGCGAAAGCAUGGGUAGCGAACAGGAUUAGAUACCCUGGUAGUCCAUGCCGUAAACGGUGGGCGCUAGGUGUGGGUUUCCUUCCACGGGAUCCGUGCCGUAGCUAACGCAUUAAGCGCCCCGCCUGGGGAGUACGGCCGCAAGGCUAAAACUCAAAGGAAUUGACGGGGGCCCGCACAAGCGGCGGAGCAUGUGGAUUAAUUCGAUGCAACGCGAAGAACCUUACCUGGGCUUGACAUGCACUGGAUGCGGCCAGAGAUGGUUGUUCCCUUUGUGGCUGGUGUGCAGGUGGUGCAUGGUUGUCGUCAGCUCGUGUCGUGAGAUGUUGGGUUAAGUCCCGCAACGAGCGCAACCCUUGUCUCGUGUUGCCAGCAUUUGGUUGGGGACUCGCGGGAGACUGCCGGGGUUAACUCGGAGGAAGGUGGGGAUGACGUCAAAUCAUCAUGCCCCUUAUGUCCAGGGCUUCACACAUGCUACAAUGGCUGGUACAGAGAGUUGCGAUACCGUGAGGUGGGGCUAAUCUCGUAAAGCCAGUCUCAGUUCGGAUUGGAGUCUGCAACUCGACUCCAUGAAGUCGGAGUCGCUAGUAAUCGCAGAUCAGCAAUGCUGCGGGGGAUACGUUUCCGGGCCU
rnacentral:rRNA from 1 species